rnacentral:rRNA from 1 species
CGGGAGGCAGCAGUGGGGAAUUUUGGACAAUGGACGAAAGUCUGAUCCAGCCAUUCCGCGUGCAGGACGAAGGCCUUCGGGUUGUAAACUGCUUUUGUACGGAACGAAAAAGCCUUGGCUAAUACCCAGGGUCCAUGACGGUACCGUAAGAAUAAGCACCGGCUAACUACGUGCCAGCAGCCGCGGUAAUACGUAGGGUGCAAGCGUUAAUCGGAAUUACUGGGCGUAAAGCGUGCGCAGGCGGUUAUAUAAGACAGAUGUGAAAUCCCCGAGCUUAACUUGGGAACUGCAUUUGUGACUGUAUAGCUAGAGUACGGCAGAGGGGGAUGGAAUUCCGCGUGUAGCAGUGAAAUGCGUAGAUAUGCGGAGGAACACCGAUGGCGAAGGCAAUCCCCUGGGCCUGUACUGACGCUCAUGCACGAAAGCGUGGGGAGCAAACAGGAUUAGAUACCCCAGU